GGGAAAGGGGAAGUGUGUGCUGGACUAUAUGAUUUUGUAAGAGACUGUGUUCAUCCAGAUGUAAAGAGAAACUUCUGUUUGAAAAUAGGAAAAAUCUGAUGUGACUUUCUUUCCUUUUUUUCAAAUUUGUCUAGCUGAAUUGGAUUAAGUUUCAUUUUGUUGACUGCCAGACAGUAGAAGUACAUGACUGUUCUGCUCAUAAUAACUACACUUUUUAUUGGAAACAAGAUGUCAUUUACCACAAUACUAAACACAUCUUGUGGAAAGCAUAUUACACCUUUUCUACCAGAUGAAGAAAAAGGCCCCCAUGCUCUUGUCCUGAGCUCAAGAAGAAGGCAAACAAGAGAAAGAGAAGAGCUACAUUCCUCUCCUCCUCCCUGUUGACUCUAAUCUCUCCUUUAAAAUGGCUCGCACAAAGGGCCAGCAGAGACUAGCUAAUUAGCAACACUUUAGGCCUCUGCAGCUUUUGUAGGUUUGGUGUGUAAAUGUGUGAGUUCAUUGUGUGCAUCCUGGGCUCUCAACUGUUUCCAGGGUAACUGCUUGCUUCGUGGCCUCAGAGGCGUCGCACUUUUUGUCUUUUAGGAUUUCUCCUGUUCCCCUCGUUGCGUCCAUAUCUUUCUGUGAGUCUGGAGUUGGGAAACAAAGAGUGUGAGGCUUAAGAAAAAAAAAAAAAGGAGAGAUCACUGCUUCAGUCAGGUUUUAGAGAUUAUCAUUGCACCUAAACAGCAUUAGUGAAACUCACUAUAGAUGUUUUUGUUGCCUCAGAUGAUGAAUGGACUUUCUUUUAGUAUUAUUGUAGAAUUCUUGUCCUGCAAGAUCUCGGUGCUGCAUUUGAUAAAGUUGAAGGCAAUAAUCUUACAGAGGCUUGAGCAUGGUCUAGGGAUUAAGACAACGGCACUAAGUUUAGAUUAUAAUCGGUGGAAAUAUACCUGUUUCUCUAUGUCAAUAAAUUUUUCUCACUCCUUUUAGUUAAUUAUGGAGUGCCACAGAGUCCAGGGCUUGGGCCAGUACUUUUUAUCAUAUAUAAUGCUUUAUCUUGGUAAAACUGUCACAUAACCAGUGAUAUGUUACUAUUGUUUAUUGUUCAUUUAUGGUUAAUGAUGCUCCAAUAUUAUAAUAAAUCAAGCCUGAUGAAUUCUGUCA